rnacentral:rRNA from 1 species
UACGGGGGGAGCAAGCGUUGUUCGGAUUUACUGGGCGUAAAGGGCGCGUAGGCGGCCACUGCAAGUCAGUUGUGAAAUCUCCGGGCUUAACCCGGAAAGGUCAACUGAUACUGCAGGGCUAGAGUGCAGAAGGGGCAACUGGAAUUCUCGGUGUAGCGGUGAAAUGCGUAGAUAUCGAGAGGAACACCUGCGGCGAAGGCGGGUUGCUGGGCUGACACUGACGCUGAGGCGCGAAAGCCAGGGGGGCGAACGGG